rnacentral:rRNA from 1 species
AUUGAACGCUGGCGGCAGGCCUAACACAUGCAAGUCGAGCGGAUGAAGGGAGCUUGCUCCUGGAUUCAGCGGCGGACGGGUGAGUAAUGCCUAGGAAUCUGCCUGGUAGUGGGGGAUAACGUCCGGAAACGGGCGCUAAUACCGCAUACGUCCUGAGGGAGAAAGUGGGGGAUCUUCGGACCUCACGCUAUCAGAUGAGCCUAGGUCGGAUUAGCUAGUUGGUGGGGUAAAGGCCUAACAAGGCGACGAUCCGUAACUGGUCUGAGAGGAUGAUCAGUCACACUGGAACUGAGACACGGUCCAGACUCCUACGGGAGGCAGCAGUGGGGAAUAUUGGACAAUGGGCGAAAGGCUGAUCCAGCCAUGCCGCGUGUGUGAAGAAGGUCUUCGGAUUGUAAAGCACUUUAAGUUGGGAGGAAGGGCAGUAAGUUAAUACCUUGCUGUUUUGACGUUACCAACAGAAUAAGCACCGGCUAACUUCG